GGGGGGGGGGGGGGGGGGGGCGGGGGCGGGCGGGGCGAGGGGUGGCGGGGGGCGGCUUGCUGCUUCGCGGACGGGUGGCGGGCGGGUGGGUGAUGUGUGGGACGCUGCCUGAUGGAGGGGUAUAACUACUGGAAACGGUAGCUAAUCCCGCAUAAUGUCGCCAUUCCACAGAGGGGUACCUUCGGGCCUCUUGCCAUCGGAUUUGCCCAGAUGGGAUUCUCUUGUUGGUGGGGUAACGGCUCACCAAGGCGACGCUCCCUAGCUGGGCUGAGAGGAGGACCAGCCAAACUGGAACUGAGACACGGGCCAGACUACUACGGGAGGCAGCAGUGGGGAAUAUUGCACAAUGGGAGCAAGCCUGAUGAAGCCAUGCCGCGUGUAUGAAGAAGGCCUUCGGGUUGUAAAGUACUUUCAGCGGGGAGGAAGGGAGUAAAGUUAAUACCUUUGCUCAUUGACGUUACCCGCAGAAGAAGCACCGGCUAACUCCGUG
rnacentral:rRNA from 1 species